rnacentral:rRNA from 1 species
GAUGAACGCUGGCGGCGUGCCUAAUACAUGCCAGUCGAGCGAACAGACGAGGAGCUUGCUCCUCUGACGUUAGCGGCAGACGGGUGAGUAACACGUGGAUAACCUACCUAUAAGGCUGGGAUAACUUCGGGAAACCGGAGCUAAUACCGGAUAAUAUAUUGAACCGCAUGGUUCAAUAGUGAAAGACGGUUUUGCUGUCACUUAUAGAUGGAUCCGCGCCGCAUUAGCUAGUUGGUAAGGUAACGGCUUACCAAGGCAACGAUGCGUAGCCGACCUGAGAGGGUGAUCGGCCACACUGGAACUGAGACACGGUCCAGACUCCUACGGGAGGCAGCAGUAGGGAAUCUUCCGCAAUGGGCGAAAGCCUGACGGAGCAACGCCGCGUGAGUGAUGAAGGUCUUCGGAUCGUAAAACUCUGUUAUUAGGGAAGAACAAAUGUGUAAGUAACUAUGCACGUCUUGACGGUACCUAAUCAGAAAGCCACGGCUAACUACGUG